rnacentral:rRNA from 1 species
GAGUAAUGCCUAGGAAAUUGCCCUGAUGUGGGGGAUAACCAUUGGAAACGAUGGCUAAUACCGCAUGAUGCCUACGGGCCAAAGAGGGGGACCUUCGGGCCUCUCGCGUCAGGAUAUGCCUAGGUGGGAUUAGCUAGUUGGUGAGGUAAGGGCUCACCAAGGCGACGAUCCCUAGCUGGUCUGAGAGGAUGAUCAGCCACACUGGAACUGAGACACGGUCCAGACUCCUACGGGAGGCAGCAGUGGGGAAUAUUGCACAAUGGGCGCAAGCCUGAUGCAGCCAUGCCGCGUGUGUGAAGAAGGCCUUCGGGUUGUAAAGC